rnacentral:misc_RNA from 1 species
AAGUAAGAGCUUCUGAUGGAUCCUGAAAAUCAUGAAUAGGCUUCAAGAUGUGCGCAAUGUAGAUAAAUCAAAGAAAAAACCAAGAGCAUAUACACACUGAUAUAAAUAUGACUUAGCUGAGAUACCUACUUGUCAAGUGUGUGACAUACUAAAACAGUAUCCAUCUUUUCAUGAACCUAGAUAAUCCAAAACUAAAAGUUACCUUAAUGUUUUUGACAUUGUCAU